GACGAACGCUGGCGGCGUGCUUAACACAUGCAAGUCGAACGGAAAGGCCCUGCUUUUGUGGGGUGCUCGAGUGGCGAACGGGUGAGUAACACGUGAGUAACCUGCCCUUGACUUUGGGAUAACUUCAGGAAACUGGGGCUAAUACCGGAUAGGAGCUCCUGCUGCAUGGUGGGGGUUGGAAAGUUUCGGCGGUUGGGGAUGGACUCGCGGCUUAUCAGCUUGUUGGUGGGGUAGUGGCUUACCAAGGCUUUGACGGGUAGCCGGCCUGGGAGGGUGACCGGCAACAUGGGGACUGAGAUACGGCCCAGACUCCUACGGGAGGCAGCAGGGGGGAAUAUUGCACAAUGGGCGGAAGCCUGAUGCAGCAACGCCGCGUGCGGGAUGACGGCCUUCGGGUUGUAAACCGCUUUCGCCUGUGACGAAGCGUGAGUGACGGUAAUGGGUAAAGAAGCACCGGCUAACUACGUG
rnacentral:rRNA from 1 species